UCCAGGAAACAGACAUUGUGAAGACCUGGGCUACCUGACACUAGCCAGGAAUUCCGGGAAUUCCAGCUCCUGGGGACGCAGAGGCUGUGCACUCCGUGCCUGGGUUUAUUGUUUUUUAAAAGGACGUCUUUAUGUAGCCUGCUUGCCCUUUCAACUCAUGAUCCUCAUUUCUCAGCCUCUCAAGAACUUAGACUAUAUGGGUUUUGCCACUGAUGGAAAGAAGGUUCUCCAUGUUGCAACAGGAAAUGAAGGAUACUAGCAGUCCAGUCCAAAGGCCCACACUAAGCACCAACAGGAUUCAGAAGAUCAGGACAAGUCAGCAAAAGCCACAAGACUCAGUGGAUUGCCCUGAGAAGUCCUCUGGAAUGUCUUUUUCUGUGAAGUCAAGUGUUGAAGCAUGAAGAUCAGUGCAGUGAUGUCCAUCAAAAAGCAAUGCCUCGCUGUGUGCAGGCCUCUCUAUAUCUCCUCUCCUCGGAGUCCGCCCAUGGAUGCUCUCAGCUGGCCAAACCGCACCCCUUACACGUGAGAGUUCACAGCAAAACAACGUGCCGGUCUCUAGCAAAACAGCUUUCAGCAAAACAUCACAUGACAAAACUGAGUCUUCAAGGAAACCAACAACUUCCACUUCACAACUAUAUUACUAUAUAACAUAUGCAACCCCUGUGAAAAGGUCACUCGAACCCUACGGGGGUUAUGACCCACAGUUUGAGAACCAUGGCUCCUGAUUCAGUGAAAGAUGCUCUCUCAGCAAACAGAGAGCAACCCAAGAAACCUGAAGUCCACCUCUGACCUCCAUACAUGAGCAUGCACAGGUAAGCAAUACCUUCUACACACAAACACACACACACA